UAUUUUUGCUUUCUCUCCAGUUUUGAUUUGAUUUGAUUUUCCUGACUUGUGGAGAAGCUUUCCCUCAUCAAGCAACUGUGGGCAUGCAGAGUAAGACCUUUGUUAAAUGGAUAACUUUCAGGAGGACACAGAAUCAGCAGAAACAAUGGAAUUUUCAUUACUGUGGUAUAUUUUUAAGGUUAAAAAGGUGUUUAGCAAUAAAAUUCCACUGAACUACAGUUGUAUUUAACAGCUCUUCUCCAGGAAUACCAAAGCAAACAUAAAAAAUAGAAUGGGUUUCAUGGCUUGUGUAAAAUGUUUUACUUCUGGGUUUCAUUUCUUAAAAUAGCCUUCCACAUCUGCCAGGUGCUGACAAAUCAAAUCCUCCAUCUAACUAUAGCCACCAUGUGGAACCUGUGGCUAUGUUUAUGACCCCAGCAGCUUCUGCUCCAGGAUAAUUGUGAAGAUCAGCCAAAAAGAUGAGUAAAUGAUAUAAAGUUGACAAACUGUAAGACAAUUGAAAUACCAUAAAAAACACCAGGCUGGUCUGGCUAGAAGAAGAAAUCUUGUAUUCAGACUGAACAAAACCCUAGGAUCCCAGGACAAGCAGGUGCUCAGUGGGAGAUACAGGACCUUCUUGGGCAUCAAGAGAUUUAAUCUUUGAUCUGUUCAAAGUUUGACCCGUCUGGGCCUCUGUUUCCUCAUUUAUAAUAAUGAAGAAAACUGGAUGAUUUCUGAGGCCCCAUUCUACAUUUCUACAAUGGCUUGUGUUAUUUUAAAGGCACAGAGUGAAGAAAUUACGAGUCAUUACAGCUGAAGUAUGCACAGAAAAGAUUUCAACCUCAAAUAAAAUCUGGAACUGAAGUUUCAC